GGCACUUUGGCGGAGUGGUUAACGCGCUGCCCUGCUAAGGUCGGGAGCGUGUGUUCGAAUCACACAGGUGUCG
rnacentral:tRNA from 1 species